GAGGGACAUCGCAGCACCUGCAAUGCCACCCGGCGAGAAUCGGUGGUCAGGUGCUCGGAGCUCUGAGCCGGAACCACUGUAGCGUGGGUCCUGUCUGCCUCCACGGCUAUGAUCCAGUCAAGCAGAAACCAGCAGGUUACACGAGGAAACCUGCAUACAUAUGUAUGGAACAGUAAUGUCUGUGCUGGUCCAUUUGGGUCACGAGGGCCAUGCUCAAAAAACAAGGUAGCAGAUGGAUCCCAGAGAUGGAUCCCAGGGGGUGUUUAUUUACAGUGUGGGUGGGUGAUUUAGGUGCUGGAGGUGUAGGGGGAAUUCUGUUUCCUGUCCCCGGUGUUGGGGGGCCUGUCUUCGUGCAGCACCUCGUAGGGGGAGGCAGGGAGGUGGGCAUCGCUCAGGACCACCAGCUGUCAUUCUGCGGCUGCUUUGGGGUGUUUUCAGAGCUCUUCUCCCCUGCUUGGCGCGGCAUGGGAGGCCCCCUUAAAGCCCCUGGGAGCUGGAAGACCCCCCAAGUCCGUCGCCUUCAGCUGGCAGUCAUAUCUGCCUGAGUAAUAUCUGUCCCGGCUUGCUGGGUCAUUUUCACUCCGUGCUCUAAUCCUCUGGCGCGAUGAUGAAUCCUCCAAGGCUCCACUGUCACGCGGUUCUGUGCUGGGUUUGGAUUUCAGAGGCUUUGAAAUAGGAUCCAAAAGGAGCUCCCAUUUAAGGCUUUUCACACUGUAAAGGGCACUUUGUUGAUGGUGUCCAUUCAAAAGUUAUUUUCAUCGCAUCAGAGUUUACAGAAAAACAUCCACACCUCACUAAAGUGGGAUGAAGGUUAUUGGGUAAAUUUGGUUGUACUUUCACGGAAUCCUGGAUUUCUCUUAUUGCAGGGAUAUAAUCUUCUGGCUGGUGGACCCUGUUUAGCCCUGGAUCGUGUAGCCACAGGCUGCUGCGCACCGGUCUGGUGCAGCAAUGGGGAGCCCAGGUUUGUCAGGGACCACAGGUCCUGCUCAGGGUGUUCAGGUUAGAUGUAAGUGCAGCUGGUGCUUCAGGUGUAAAGGUGUUUCUAAUGGAAACAUAAACCAUUGACAACUUAGUAAGUUUUUAAGAUCAAUGCAUUUGUAUGUUACAUGUGUGUCCAAUUACUGAUUACUGUGAUGAUAGAUCCUCUCAUAACACAUCGUUCCAUCCAUUCAUACAUCAGUCUUCCAGCUACUCAUCCAUUGCAGGGUCACAAGGAGACAGCAGGGUCUCUUUGGUCAGUGUGUGCAGGGUCUCCUAGGCCAGCAUGUGUAGGGUCUCCUCAGCUGCCGUCCAUAGGGUCUCCUCAGUCUGUGUGUGCGUGGGGUCGCCUCAGCCGGCAUGUGUGGGGUCUCCUCAGUCUGCGUGUGCGGGGUCUCCUCAGUCUGCGUGUGCGGGGUCUCCUCAGUCGGCAUGUGCGGGGUCUCCUCAGUCGGCGUGUGCGGGGUCUCCUCAGUCUGCAUGUAGGAGGUCUCCUCAGUCAGUGUGUGCAGGGUCUCCUCAGUCGGUGUGUGCAGGGUCUCCUCAGUCGGUGUGUGCGGGGUCUCCUCAGUCGGCGUGUGCGGGGUCUCCUCAGUCGGAAUGUAGGAGGUCUCCUCAGUCGGCAUGUGCGGGGUCUCCUUAGUCGGCGUGUGCGGGGUCUCCUCAGUCGGCGUGUGCGGGGUCUCCUCAGUCGGCGUGUGCGGGGUCUCCUCAGUCGGCGUGUGCGGGGUCUCCUCAGUCGGUGUGUGCGGGGUCUCCUCAGUCGGUGUGUGCGGGGUCUCCUCAGUCGGCGUGUGCGGGGUCUCCUCAGGCGGCGUGUGCGGGGUCUCCUCAGUCGGUGUGUGCGGGGUCUCCUCAGUCAGUGUGUGCGGGGUCUCCUCAGUCGGUGUGUGCGGGGUCUCCUCAGUCGGUGUGUGCGGGGUCUCCUCAGUCGGCGUGUGCGGGGUCUCCUCAGUCGGCGUGUGCGGGGUCUCCUCUGCUGUCAUUCACCCAGUCUUAUU